UACGGGGGGGGCAAGCGUUGUUCGGAAUUACUGGGCGUAAAGGGCUUGUAGGCGGCCAACUAAGUCAUACGUGAAAUCCCUCGGCUUAACCGGGGAACUGCGUCUGAUACUGGAUGGCUUGAGAUUGGGAGAGGGAUGCGGAAUUCCAGGUGUAGCGGUGAAAUGCGUAGAGAUGUGGAGGAACACCGAUGGCGAAGGCAGCCCCCUGGGCUGAGAUUGACGCUCAGGCACGAAAGCGUGGGGAGCAAACAGG
rnacentral:rRNA from 1 species